UCAGGAUGAACGCUAGCGGCAGGCUUAACACAUGCAAGUCGAGGGGCAGCGCGAGUAGCAAUACUUGGCGGCGACCGGCGCAAGGGUGCGUAACGCGUGAGCAACAUGCCCGUAUCAGGGGGAUAAUCCAGGGAAACUUGGUCUAAUACCCCAUAGUAAUUUUGUAAGGCAUCUUAUAAGAUUUAAAGCUUUGGUGGAUACGGAUUGGCUCGCGUGACAUUAGCUGGAUGGUAAGGUAACGGCUUACCAUGGCUAUGAUGUCUAGGGGUUCUGAGAGGAAGGUCCCCCCACACUGGAACUGAGACACGGUCCAGACUCCUACGGGAGGCAGCAGUGAGGAAUAUUGGACAAUGGAUGGAAAUCUGAUCCAGCCAUGCCGCGUGAAGGAAAGAAGGUCCUAUGGAUUGUAAACUUCUUUUGUAUGGGAGCAAUAAGGCCUACGAGUAGGUUGAUGAGAGUACCAUACGAAUAAGCACCGGCUAACUCCGUGCCAGCAGCCGC
rnacentral:rRNA from 1 species